rnacentral:lncRNA from 1 species
AGCCUGCUUGUUCGCAUAGAUUUUAACGACAUGAACAUUGUGGUAAGGUUAGAGAGUAAUGCGAAUGUAGGAGCUUAUAUUAGAAAUGACACAAACACGUAAAUAGAAGUAAUCUAUAUAUGAUAUUACUCAUGGACUACAAGCAAAGAAGUACAAUACAUGGAGUAAGUGAUGAAAUGAGCAUUCCUCACUACUACUGCUUGACUGAUGGAACAUGAUGCACGAGAUAGCAUAAGUAGUAGUAGGAAGCAGCUCUUAUUUGUGGCGUCGGUAUACAUCAUACUAGGUAGAUGGUUCAAUUGGCAUGGAUGGGUGGUGGAGCCUUGAAGUGCUUGUGAUGGGGAGCCCACGGCUUCUUCUCAGGAGUUGGUGGCUUCUUGUAUGGAGUUGAUGGAGGUGUUUCUACUGGAGGGUGGCCAGGGUAGUGACCCUGGGGUGGUGAAGGUUCUUUUGUCGGUGGUGGCCUCACUAUUAUUGGCGGUAGAGUUGGUGGCUUGGGCGUUGGCGGUGGUCUCACUACUCUUGGGGGUAGAGUUGGUGUCUUGUGUUUUGGUGGUGGAGGUGGCUUAACAGGAGUUGGUGGCUUGUAUUCUGGGGGUGGUUUCUCCACCGGAGGUGGCUUAUAAACUGGAGUUGGUGGCUUGUAUUCUGGGGGUGGCUUCUCCACUGGUGGUGGCCUGUAAACAGGGGUUGGUGGCUUAUAUUCUGGGGGAGGCUUCUCCACUGGAGGCGACUUAUAAACAGGGGUUGGUGGCUUGUAUUCCGGGGGUGGCUUCUCUACGGGAGGUGGCCUGUAAACAGGGGUUGGUGGCUUCUCCACCGGAGGUGGCUUAUAAACGGGGGUUGGUGGCUUGUAUUCUGGGGGUGGUUUCCCCAGUGGUGGAGACUUGUAAACAGGAAGAGGUGGUUUGUGCUCAUAUGGGGGUGGCUUGUGGUCAUUAGCAAGUGAGGGAGUGGUGAGGACCACCAAUCCAAGGAACAACACGAGUGAGCAAGCAGAAGACAUGUUUGGGCUCUGGUGAUGCACAAGUAGAAGAAAUGGGAACCAUUUAUAAUGCUUCGAGACCUUGGUUAGCACCAAAAUAUGUCAAAAUCUUGAUUACUUCAUUUCAUACAUAGAUUUAAAAUUAUUUCAAUCAACCAUGAUCCUUAAUUUUCUGGGUGGUCCAUAAAUGUAAUGGGGUCAAUUUGGGACCUAACAAGCUGAGAAGUUUGACAAUGCUGCAAGGCUUCAUCCGAAAGUCCGGGGAAGAAUAUUAGGAGUUACACUCCGUUUCCUUUUUUGGGUGCAUUUUUCUCCUUUAACAUUCUAUUCCCUUUUACAUUAGCAUUUGAUCUUAGCUCAUUUCAAGUACAAGUUUCUUGAACCCUAUACCAUUGUCAAAGUUGAGUAACCAUCUCUACUUUGCUCAAGAAACAUAAAAGACAAUGACAAUAAAGAAAAAGGAGAGAGACCAUACGUGACUUGGUUUAUAGGUGGCUUUGUGUUGACAUUUGAGUAUGGAAGCCGACAUGCAUCUUAGCUUCGAUUUUAAUUAAAUUUGUACAUUAGUGUCUGUGUCAUUCAUUUUGGUAUAAAAGGUCUCUUGAUUUCGUAAGUUUGGUAAGAACCGUUGAAAAUAGCAGUAGCAGCACAUGGUCCACUUUCUUUCACAAAAUAAUUUUAAAAGUUUAGAAGCAUAGGAGGUAACAUUAGUGGCCUUGUGGCUCAGCCACGAGUACUAUGUGGUGCUCGAGAAAUUGAGUUUAAUUUCCUUCCGAUAGUUCAUGAUAAGGUCCGUCACUGUCCUGAGACAGAUUGCGUUUUUUCUUUUUUCCUUUUUUAGUGUUUUAUUGACUAGCUAGGUGUGACUUUUCCUACUUUAAGGCACGAGGCAGAAAAGAAACUGGGAUUUAGUGCUUAAGAAGGCAAAUUUAAUUCGAUUUGGAUCUAAAAUUUGCCAGCAACAUGAGAUUUUCCAGCCUAUCGUUGCUCCACAUAUAGACAAGGCACUUGUAGAAGUGGCUUGUUUGUAGCCAUUCCCGAUAUUUGGACUCACUUGAUUCACCGGACACUUUGAUAAAAUUUAAUAUUUAUUAUUUAAUAAUUUAAAUUGAUUUAAAAUUAAAUUAUACCGAAGUUGUGAUUUAAAAAUUAUUAUUUAAUUCUUACUUUUAAAUAUGAAGAUUAUUUGAUAAAAAUAAUUUAAAAUUUAUUAUAAAUUAUCAAAUUAACAUAUUUAUCCUUAUAAAUUAUAAUUAAAACAGAAAAGGUCAAAUGAUUUGAGUAUCCAUAGAUGUGGUAAAAUAAUAAAAAAGAUUAUAAAAACAAUUAUGAUAAAUAAAGAUAAAAAGUAAAAUGAAUAUGUGAAUUUAAAGAAUAAAUUAAUUAUUUUUAUUUAUUACUUAAAAUUAUUUUUGACUUUAAAUUAUAUUAUUAAAUUAUUUUACCAAACAUACUUAAUUUAGUUAAUAAUUUAAAUUUAAUUUAAGUUAUUAAAUUGAUUCACCAAAUACCCACUUAAUCAAAGACUGAAGUAUACAUUAUUUGGCCAAAUGCAGCUAUUGAAAUUUAACUUUUUCCAAACUUAUUCAUUUUGUGGAAAUAUUUUUAGAAAUGAUUUUAAAAAUGCACUAUUCUGUGUGUUGAUUUUAUAUUUUGGCAUUAAUCCAACAUAGAAAACGGUUCUUAUUUUCGCUGUUAAAUAGGUACCAGAUCCUUAAUUAGUGCCGUGAAUCCGGCAGCUUCCAAUGAGUAAUUUGGACUUGGGUAUUGACAAUGUGUGGCCAUGCUUCUACUAUUUUAUUAUUCUUGAAACAUAUAUGAUAUAUUGGACUUUAUACAGGGAAAAAAAAAAAAAAAAGUCUUCACCAAAAAUGAUUCCUCCUAAAAAAUAGACUCCACAAACUAGGUUUAACAGGAAAAUGAUUCUAAUCUAGUAGUUUCCAGCCACAUGAGCAUUUACGUAACAAUAGUAUAGUUGAUAACGACUUUUAUUUUAUUUAUUUUUAAAUAGUUAAAGGGAUAAUUUUUGAGCUUAAAUUUUAUUUUUUUAUUUAGAAACAUUUUACUUUAUUUUUUAAUCAUAAUUCUAUUAUAUUAAUGUUUUAUUUUCUAUUUUUUAAUAUAUAAGGAGAUACUAAAUUUAUGUGAUUAUUUUUUAAAAAUUUAGUAUAUGAAAUUAAAUAAUUGGAUAUAUAUACAUAUAUCAUAUAAUGUUUUUUAAGUGUGAUUUUUGAACUUUUUAGUCAUUUUAUAAGUUUAAGCUUUUGAUUUUUUUUUUUAAACUUUGGUAUUUUUUAUUUUAUAUAAAACUAUUUUGAUUUAAUUUUAUUAAAAAAUAUUGGUAUUAUAAAUUAUUGUAUUAAUUAUUUUUUUAUAUUAUAAUGUAACUGGUAUAUACUAAAAAAUGUAUGCAAGUUCAAUUUAAGUUUCAAAUUAAAAAAUUUCAUUUAAAUAUUUAAUAACUUGUUCAUAAUAAAAAAUUAAACAACAUAAUACAAAUGAAAAGAAACAUAAAAGAAAAAGGAAAAAAUGGUCCUCUCUGUGUGUCACAUUACUAGGUCAUCCUCUUUUUCUAUGACCCUUACAAUAGAAUGGCAUAUUUGUCAAAUCUACUUAUGAAAGUUGGAAUGUUUCUACAUGUGUAGGGUCCAUUGGAACUAAUGGAGGAAAGGCUUAACGUCUAUGUAAAUCACAACGUUGCCUAGGUGGGCAUAGAUCUAGUUGUGUAACAUGAGAUGGUGUGAGAGUACAAUAUAUGCAUUGUAGUCUCUAUGGGAAGAGAGAUAGGUAAUGGUAGGGUGGUAGACGGUAGGGUGAUCUCUAAUAUAAUGACAUUUGAUGUGGUGGCUUCUAAGAGAGGAGAUAUAAGAGAUGGUAGAAUGACAUUUGGUGUAAUGGUCUCUAGUGCAAUGACAUGUGAUAUGGUGACCUAUAAAGAAGAGAUAUAGGUGAUGGUGAAGUGGUAUGUGGUGUAGUGACCUUUGAGAUAGAAAAUAGAGGUAAUGGUAGGUUGGCAGGUGGAGUGGUCUUUGGUGUAGUGACAUCAAUUAUAAAUGUCUCCAAGGGAGGAAAUAAAGGUGAUGGUAGGUAGUAAAUGUUGAGGUGGUCUUUGAUAUGUUAUGCUCUAAGAGAGAAGGUAUAGGUAAUGAUAAUAGGGAAUUUGACAUAGUGGUGUUGGAAAUAAAAAGUGAAAGUGACCGUAGAGGUGAAAGGGCAAGUGUAAAAGCCUCAAGUACGAAUGGAGUAAUUAAUGUGGAUGGUGCUAACAUAGUCUUAGGUGGAUACACAAAUAGUCAUAGUCAUCAACUAGCUUGCCCACCAUCUGUCUUUCUGCUAGUGAUAGGUUACAUCUUAAUAGUAAUGGCCAACAUAAGUGGUGUGGAUCCGAUUUUUUUACGUGUGUCCCCACUCAAUCGACAAGACUUAUUUUUUAUUAGUGAAAAAUUAAUUUUGGAAAAGUUGGAGUCACCACUUAUUUUAUUUUAUUUUAAAAAGGAAAGUAAAACAAGAAAGAGAACUCUAAAGAAGUGACUUCAUAGUUUUGGAAAAGUUAGUCUUAAAAAAUCCAAGUCUUGGUCCGGAGAUCAGGUUACUUAUUGGGAAGAUACCUCUAAGAGGUAAUACCCCUCUAAACCCUAAAGAAGUCUCUAAUGACUAAGUUGAGGAGAAUGUGGUAAUUAAUUAAUUGAUUGAGGGUACCUAGGUAGACUAAGGUGAUUUCAGAAUUAACAUACCAAGCUAGAAAGUCCAAUCAUGAUCAUAAAAGAGAGUCAAAGUAUGUACCUGAACUGCUUCUCAAACGCUAUCAUAAAACAUCAAAGUUAGUAUAGAAAUAUAACACAUAAUAUUUGUUUUAUCCAAGCAAAUAAAGCAUACAUCUAAGCACCCAAGAAUCACAUCAAGUAUGGAUAUAGUCAUCAAUAGCAUACGUGUCCAUAGAACUAUCGAAAGUAAAUGUGGAGGAGCGUAUCUGGACAACAUAGAUAACUUAUAAUGUGCUUCCACAAGACAUGGGGGUUAGAUAAAAGUUAUAAUAAUAAUUAGUAAAUGAAAGAAUUCUAGCAUGUUUGGUAUCUAAAUAACAUAGCAAAAAUGAACAAGAGUACACGAAAACAUCAAUUAUCACACGAGUCAUAUUGGCUAGUAUUUAAUCAAUAAACCAACAAUAAAUGACUAUAAACAUAUAAAAUGACAUAUUCAAAGAGACCCAAACAUAAAGAGCCUAGAACACAAGCUUACACUAAAUUUAGAAAACUAAAACAUGGAAUUUUAAAAGCAUAAAUUAGCAAACAAAUUGAUGGAAACUAAAUUUAGAUAACUUAAGAAUAUUUUUCUUAUCCUUCAAUUUAAAUCAGUAAGCCAACAAUAAAAAAUUAUAGAAACAUGGAAUAUCAAGAUCAAUGGGAUACCUAAACUAUAAUUUUUAAAAGAAAAUAAACUAAGCAUAAUAUCUACAAAGCAACUAAACUAACAUUUUUUUAAAAAUAAAUUAAACAUGACAUUAAUGGAGUAACCAAACUAAAUUAAAGUAAACUAAAAACAUUUAUGAAUUUUCAAACAUGGAAUCAGCUUUCUUAGUAAAUUAAAAUUAUUAAAAUAAAAUCUAAGCUUAAAAAUGAAUUAAAUACUAACUAAAGCAAAUCUAAAACCAAAUAUUUAACACAUAGGAUCAAUUAUAUUAACAAACUAAAAUUUUAUAAGAACACUUAAACCUAAAGUUGAAUUAAAAACUAACCAAUUUUUAAAACUAGAUCUUUAACCCAUAGGAUCAAUUAUAUUAACAAAUAAAUAAUAAAUAAUAAAUAAAUAAAACUCAAACCUAAAGAUGAACUAGAAAUGUACCAAAGUAAAUUCAAAACAAGAUCUUUAACACAUUAGAUCAAUUAUAUUGACUAACUAAAAAAAAAAAAAAAAAACACUCAAACCUGAAACGAUGUAUUAGAAACUAACCAAAGCAAAUUUAAAAUAGAGUCUUUAACACAUAGGAUCAAUUAUAAUCACUAACUUAAAUUACAAUUUUUGAAACAUGAACUAAUUAGUGUUGGAUUAAUUAAACUAAUUAACUAAAAAAAACUAUAAACUAGAAUACGGUGAAUCAAGAAUUCAAAUCAACAAACAUAAAAUAUGGGUACAAUGAAAUGAAAAUCUAUUAAACUAAUAAGACGGAAAUAUGACAAACUCAUGAACCCACAUUUUGAUCAACUAGGAAAUAGAAAUUAAUAGACCUGUAGCAUGGAUACAAUGAAAUGAGAUCAGUUAAAUUUAUUUGCCGAAAUUCUAAAAAACACAUACACUCAAAUAAGAUCUAAAUCUAAGACCAAGCAAAACUCAAACUUUCUCAAUCUAAUGCAAUGAAUCAAAACUAAAAUUAAAUAGAAAUCAAACCAUUUUUUUUUUAUCUAAUAUAAUAAAUCAAAGCUAAAACUAAACAAAAUCGAAUUUUCUUAAUUUAAUAUGAUGAGUCAAAGCUAAAAUUGAACAAAGUUCAAACCUUUAUAUAAUGGAUCAAAGUUAAAUCUAAAUGAAAUCCAUACUUCCACAAUUUGAUAUAACAAAUCAAAAAUAAAACUAGAUAAAAAAAAAGUCAAAGCCUUUCAACUUGACAUAGUGAAUCCAAACUGAAACGAAACAAAAUUUUAACUUUUCCAAUGAAACCCAAUAUAGAAAAAAUUAGCUUACCUUCUUUAGAAUAUAUGUAUGGGCCAUAAAGAAGUCACCUUGGUGCAUGUGUUCCUCACUUUGACGCCAAUGGACGACUUUCUAUGGUAGCAAAUGGAGAUCCUUUUUGGUGGUAACUUGCGUGUGGAAACCUAUGGUACAACCAAUGUCAUCUUUUAUUGUGCGUGUGGACCAAUUUCUUCUCGAGAACUCAUGUGUGUUGUGCUCAAAAUAUGUUGCCUGUGAGAAUCUAUUGGUAUACCCCACAUAUGGUUUCCUUGAGAGAAUCUGUGGUUGUGUGUGGGCGUUUUCUUCAUGACAGCAUGUGGAUGUUCCCAUCUAUGGUAGAUUGGUUGUGAUGCUUUAGUGCAUGGUCUCCAUAGGAAUAGUGUGUUAUGGAAAUUUGGUUUUUUUAUUGGUGCAUGUUGUCUAGACUUUCCCAUAUGCGUGGACUGUGUGUUCAUGCUUUUCUUUUCGGAUGGUCGCCUGUGUUAAUGUGUGGCGGUGUCUACAAUGAAAGAUACAACCCUUUCUCUCCUUCUGCGUGAUAGAAAAGUCAAUCCCCCAUGGUGCGACUAUGUUCCCUCGUCCUUUUUGAAAAAUUUUGGUGUUUUCCCCCCAAAAAAUCCCCUCCAAAAAUCUAAUUAUAAAUGUCUGCUUUGGCCUAAUGUGUGUGCUACUUUUUUUUUCCUUCUUUUUAUGGUUGUGCGUGCUUUUCUUGAUACGUGGCUUAUUUCUUAAGGAUAUGAUUCGCUCCCAAUUGGUGUCUCAGCUGAUUCAUGUCCUUUCAAUGGUCCCUGACAGUGGUGCCAUUUGAUUCGUGUCCAGCUGGUGUCCCUUGAUUGUGGUCCUCAGAAGGGAGUAAUCAAUAAAAUUUAUAACCUAUUACACCAUGUAUUAGGAUAGCCUUAGCUAGCAUAGCAUAGUGGCUCUAGGGUCGUUUAUUGGGAUGAGUUUUCACUUCACAAUUGAUAUUAAUUCAAGAGCUGAAUUGGUGCCUUUUCAUUUCAAGGUUAGCUUUAAAAGAAAACAUAAUCUUUGGUGGAAAAAGGUUUGGUUUUAAACUAACCAAAAAUAGUAACUGAUUUUACUUACAAAGAAAAGUGUUCUUUGGAGUUUAGAUCACUAGGCUCAGGUUCCUCAUACAAAAAGGAGAGUUCCGAUCAUUUGUUUCUUUUCCUCGCAUUAGAGAAUUAACAUAUAGUUAAUUCUCUAACCGGUGCGGUACAUAUGCUUCCCAUUAAUGGGUUCAAACACUAAAUACCUCUCACUGAUGCACCUUGCAAUGGCUCGUGCCUCUCACCUAGCAUUUAUCAUUCAAGGUGAUCUUUAACCUUGGAUUACCCAUCAAAAGCUCGCAAGAGAUAACUAAAGGAUGUCUCCUUAGAGUCCAAAAGCUUACCAAGUGUUGGUUAUUCUAGAAAAUCCUACCUUCAAACCACCUCCCAAAGGCUCGCAAGAGAUAAACAAGUGCAUCUCAAUGGAUGAAGAUCACUUGCCUUACCAAGUUUUGGCCCAGAUGAUUUAAUGACAUUUUAAGUUAACUAAAAAGAUAAAAACCAUUAACGGGUCACACUUUCUCUUCAUUAAAAACUAAAACAACAAAACUUCCAAUUUAUGCAUGAGGAAACUUACCUGGCUUUCUUCACUUCAAGAGAUGAAGAGCCUAGCCACUCAUCAUUUGAGGAAAAAUCCUCAGAGUUUGAUUUGCUAGAAAUAAAAAUAAUGAGAAAACAAAAAUAUAUAUAUGAAAAACAGAGCAAGUUCUCUGUAAUAUAUUUUUCUUCCUUAUACAAAAGGUUGUCUCUAAGAACAAGUUCCCGAGAUCUAUCUGAUUGUAAAUAAAAUUACAACUAUAUAUAAGAGGUUAUUCACCCCUUUGUUCUUUCUUAAAGACUAAGGAAUCCUAUGAUAGGUGGGUUACAAGGAGAGUUUGGGGAUUUAGACAUCAAAUAUCUAAAGCAAAAUAUCUCAAGAUGUUAGUCGGAAAUAUCAGGAAGCUUCAGGAGAACACCGCGACACUGUAUACUGAGAGAAAAACUCUCCGGGUAAGCUCUAUCAAAGGAUCCAGACAUGUCUGACUGGGAAAGUUGAAACGUCCUUCUCUCCCAUCCGGAUGUGAGAUAUCCGGAGAAAGUGAAAUGUCGGUCGGACAGAAUUCUUUCCCCGGGUGGAAUGAGUUGUGUUGCGCGUCGCAAGGGGGACCGUCUGCGUGUACAAGUUGUAGGGACCCCUCUCCCGGAUGACACCGAGCGCGUAAGGCUAUCCGGAUCAACUCCAUUCGGAUUCCCCAAGAGGACAUGUGGCGUGCUCCCCUAUCAGGACUCCCUUAGGGAGAAGCACACGACACUCGUGAACAUCAUACCCGGACGAUAGCAUGUCCUAUCCGGAUGUGUUGUCCGGAUCAUUGACUAAAGUGAGCAAGCCUUGCUACGUCAUUCGGACAGCUUGCCACAUACCAUGUUCCGUCGCCAUCUGAUGGUGUGUCCGAACGCCUUGUCCGGACAUCUUUUGCUCCUUGCAUUCCGGAUUUGCUUAUGACAAAGGACUUCAAAGCUUCGGUUCUUCAUGUUUCUGAGCUUUCCAUUGCUUUGCCAUGGAUUCCAAAGAACUCUCCUUAAUCACGGAUUGCUUUGGUGAUCAAAAAGUUAUCAAAACACAAAAACUUAACAUAGUUUGAUUAGAAUUGAUUGCAAGGGUUCUUAAUAUGUUAAUUGGGUUAAAAGGUGAUAACUACUACUCAAAAGUGUUUAUAAGAAUUAAUUACAAGCUAUGAAAUAACACUUUUUGAGUAGUAAUCAGGAUACAUCCUAGUUUUUCAUGGAAUUGAUAGUGGGUUGUUGUGCAUGAAUGCCACCAUUUCAACUAUGCUGUUGUUAUUUUUAAAAAAAAUAUGGAUUAUGCGCGAGUGGCAAUUCUCCACUAUGGAAAGUGGAUUGCUCCUUCAACCCAUGCAUGGCUACGUAUUCCUAUGUCUUUCUACUUGUGUUUGAUCCUCCAAAAAAAAUUUCGGUUUAGUGCUAGUAGAUUUUAAGUGGUGGAUCCCCAUUUUUUGAAAAUGAAGUGGCAGCCUCCCAUUUCAAGACAAAAUGGUAGCCUGCCUUUAAUCUUUGGAGAAAAAUCUGUGCAUGACCUUUUUUUUUCCCAAAAAAUCCGUGCAUGGUGUCCUUUAAUAUUUGGAGAAAAAUCUAUGUUGGAUCUUUUCUUUUCUAGAAACAUUUGUGUGGUCUUUUUUGUUAGCCCAAGGGUUCUUCUAAUCAAGUUUUGAUGAUAACAAACCAUGGUUAAGUGACUAAUUGGUUUAAUGAUUAAGAAUCUCAAACAUAAAAUCGAAAAUUCAUCAAAGGACCAAAUGGAUACAAGAUCGAGACGCUUGGAAGACUUGUAAUCAUAGGAAACUAAUGUAAGAUGAAUGCAUGAGUGCACUUAGGAUUUUCACACGUUUCAUGCAACUUAGAAAACCCAGUUUAUUCUUUAAAACUUCAUCCCAGUUUAUUCUUUUUAUGGUUGUGUGUGCUUUCCUUGAUACGUGGCUUAUUUAUUAAGGAUACAUCCCAGUUUUUCAUGGAAUUGACAGUGGGUUGUUGUGUGUGAAUGCCACCAUUUCAACUGUGCUGUUGUUAUUUAAAAAAAAAAAAAAUGGAUUGUGCGCGAGUGGCAAUUCUCCACUAUGGAAAGUGGAUUGCUCCUUCAACCCAUGCAUGGCUACGUAUUCCUAUGUCUUUCUGCUUGUGUGUGAUCCUCCAAAAAAAAUUUUGGUUUAGUGCUAGUAGAUUUUAAGUGGUGGAUCCCCUUUUUUUGAAAACUAAGUGGCAGCCUCCCAUUUCAAAACGAAGUGGUAGCCUGCCUUUAGUCUUUGGAGAAAAAUCUGUGCAUGACUUUUUUUUUCCCAAAAAAUCCAUGCAUGGUGUCCUUUAAUAUUUGGAGAAAAAUCUAUGUGGGAUCUUUUAUUUUCUAGAAAAAUUUGUGUGGUCUUUUUUGUUAGCCCAAGGGUUCUCCUAAUCAGGUUUUGAUGAUAACAAAUCAUGGUUAAGUGACUAAUUGGUUUAAUGAUUAAGAAUCUCAAACAUAAACUCGAAAAUUCAUCAAAUGACCAAAUGGAUACAAGAUCGAGACGCUUGGAAGACUUGUGAUCAUAGGAAACUAAUGUAAGAUGAAUGCAUGAGUGCACUUAGGAUUUUCACACGUUUCAUGCAAUUUAGAAAACCCAGUUUAUUCUUUAAAACUUCAAUUUCAUUAAAACCCGAGUUUUUAACUAAUGUACCUUAGGCAAAAUGUUUUAUAAUUGGCUUAAUAAUUCACCUAAAUACAUUUUCUAAGUGUUAGAAAAGAAAGGAAUUAAAAAAAGGUUUUCGGGGCAAAAAAGGCUCAACCGGUCGAGGCUAUGGUCAACCGGCUCAACCGGUUGAGGAACCAAUCGAUCGGUUGUGCUUGUCCGAUCGAAGACCAAUCGAGGGAUGCCAAAAAAUUUCUCUCUCUCCUAGUGGCCUUCUCUUCCCGGUCGAGGUUCGGUCUAGGCAACGGUAACAUGUCAAGCAUUAAAUGCUCCGACGACUAGUGAAUCGGUCGACCCCUAGCCCGAUCGGACGAGGUUGCCUUUUGCUGUUUUUGACUCCCGAGCUUAGAAACCUAUAAAUUGAGAGCUCCACUUCAUUUAUUGAUAAAAGAGAACACUUGCAUUCAAUAGUCUACCUACCUUUUCUUGAUCAAAAAGCUCUCAUUUCCUUCAUAGUGCAUUAAAUCAUCACUUGCAUAUCCUUUAGUGCACUAUUGUGUGUCAUCCUAGCUUUGUUUUGUAUUUGAGCUAUCCUUAAGCUAGGUUGAGGGAUUAUUUCUUAUAAAAAUCUGAGUGUUAAAGCCUUCAAGAGAUUUGAAUCUUGAAGAGAUUGUGUAAGAGCCCAUUGGAGCCGGAGUCCAAGUGUAAGAAGAUUGGAAGCUUGGUUGAAGCUUCAAGUUAGUGGAACCCUCACUCGGUUAGGAGGUUGAGGAGAGUGGACGUAGGUAAGGAAGUGUCGAACCAUUAUAAACCCGAGUUUGAAUUCUCUAACUCUAUCUCUUUAUUUUGCUUAUAUUGUGUUUGAAUUUGUUGUGAUUGAAAAGAUUUUAAAAACCUAAUUCACCCUCCCCCCUUUUGGGUUUUUUUUUCUUAAUUAAGCAUAACCUUUGUUUUCUAAUUUUCUUUUUAGGAAAAUCCAUGCGUGGUAUGUCCAAACUCUCCAAGUGGCAGUCUGCCUUCUUCUAAAAAAUUUGUUUCUAUUUCUUUAUUCGACUACCUUCCAUGUCUUCCUAAUGAGUGCUUGUGCUCAAUGGUCAAUCCCUGGUGGUUGCCUCCUUUUCCCAUAUAUACGUGUUGCAAAAUCAACAUCCCACUAUAUGUGGGUUGCCUCUAUGGCAAGUUCACAUUUCCCACAUGAAACCUAUGAGUUUCCACCAAAAAUUGCCAUGAAAAAGUCUUUAUAUGCAUCUCAUGCAAUAAAAAGUCAAGCCAAUACUCAUCUUAUCUCGAAAAAUAAGUAACCAAAAUCAAGAUCAUGCCUAAGUGAACUAUGCCAAAAGAAGUGUCCAAGUGACCUAUUAUGAAAAAAGUGCCUAAGUGACCUAAGGUGAAUGUGUGUAAGCUGGAAGGUGUCUAGGAUGUUUAGGACAAUGCCUAAGCCUAAAAUAGGGUUGCCAAGGGUCACAAUGGGGUUAGAUAAAUCUCUCAAUCAGAGUCUCCAAGGUGGCUCAUAAAAGAUAAGCUACACGAGUAAUGAUGGGCCACCAGGGAAUUAUUGUAAAGCACCAAACGAACACAUAAUAGGACAUGUGUUAGAAUGAAAAAAUGGAGGGUUUACAAGUGGUCUCAUGGAUGAGCUUGAUAAUUUAAAUGACUCACAUAAUGAACGUAUGUGAUGUUUCUCUCCAAUAACAAGCAAAACAUCACUAGCAAUAUGAUGAAUGUCUCCUAAAUCACUUGAAGUAGUCCUAGCAAAUCAAUUAGAAAAAUCACACAUAUUGCUCUAAUGUAAUAUUAUAUACAUCUGUCAAUGAAUGGGAGAACUAAUGACACAACCAUCAUGUUGAUAUCUCGAACCCUCUAAUCUCAUAUGUAGGUGGGAUCACACUUAGAAACUCAUAACACAGUAAUGACCAAUCUAAGUCAAAAUGUGUUGGUGAUCGGAGGCCCAUGAAUAUGAAGUUCUAGGAUGAUAAUGACAUCUUAUAAAGUAAUGAUCAUCUCCUUAAUAGAUAGGUGAAAUGUGUGUGUCUUAGGACACCAUCUCUCAACAAGACUUGUGAUCAAUCCCCAGUCUAGUGUAACAUGCCUAUUAUGACAUCCAUCGUAAAAUCUAGACUAGAUAAUAUAAGGACAAAUGUGAGGGUUCAUCUCCCUUUCCCACAUAAAUUUAAAAAAUUAUUAUUGACAAGUUAAGACCAAACUAAGUUGCAAAAUAUAAAUAAGUCCAUUAGAUAACAAAUUUAUGUUUUCUCAUUUUCUCAUUUUUAAAGAGAUAUUAUGUGCUUCCAUGUACAUACAUGCUAAAGUCAAUUAUACGAGACUUAUAUCCAUCUUGUAGAACCAAAUCGAACCUAUCUAAUAGAUCCAGAUUAGAAGUAUGUCCUCUAUACUCCAUAUUUAUAACACAUUUAUAAAGAUAAAUGCUAAAAAAAUGUUAAAGAUAUAAAUUUAAUGAACCAUACUUUAUGAUUUUAAUUCUCAAUUAUUGUUCAUAUUUAUAAGAGAAAAGUUAAAAAAAUUGAUAGAGUUUUCCCUCUAUCAUGGACAUUAUCCCAAAUAAAAAUAAAUUGAUUAUGCAAAUUACAUUAAUAUUUGUAACCAAAUGAUCAAUAACUAUCUUGUAUCAAUUUAGUAAAUAAAUUUAAGUAUAUCUUUUCAUUUAUGACUAACAAAUAACUCAUACUUGUCCAAUAAAAGCCACACCUAAUUUCUAAAAUUUUGUCUUCACCUCAAGUGAGUGUUACAUUGAGAAAGAAAAAAUAUGAAAGAAAAAAUGAACACCUUUUUCUUUUAAUAAAAAAAGGCCAUAACGAAACAUUAAAUCUCACUGUUACACCUAUCUUCAAUGGAAACAUGAGGAUGUGAAUGGUGGCGGUGAUAUUCUUUGCUUGAAGCUCAUAAACAAAUAUUCCUUACUAAGCCUAUGCCAUUUAGUAUUUCAAUAGUGGACCCCCCCCCCCCCCCCCCCCCCCUCCUUGCAUUUCAGAUUUAGCAAACUUAGAACCAAAUAACAAAGUGCAUUUGAACCCAUAAAGAAGUAAUGAGACUCUCCUAUAUUGGCAAUAGAAGAAAUUUUUGGAGGUAUAGGAGAUUCACGGAUGAAGAAGUUGGGCCCCAAUUGAGAUAAGACCCAAGAAAAGAUGGGGUAGAGAGGGAUGGUUGGAAAUUGUAAAGUAAGAUUUUCAAAAUGUAGUUGAUGACUAAGAUUUUGACAAUUUAAAAAAGGUUUAAAAAUGUAGUUAGCAAUCGGGGUUUUGUAACAUUUAAAAAAUAAAAUAAAAUCUCAGGCCACAUGGUAGCCCAUGUGAUUCAGAAGCUUGAGAAUUAUUUUAUAAGAAGACUUAAUUUGUGAUUUUUUUAUAACUAUAUUAUUUUUUUUCUUAACACACGAAAAAAAUUAUGAAAUAAGACAAUUUUCCUAAGAAAGCAUGUAAGUGACUCUUGGUUAUUUUAUUUAACUUCUUCUAGUUUGGAGAGGAUUAAUACCUUUGCUUUUACUCACUUGCUUGGAUAUGUACACGUUGUUCAUGUCACUUUUCAUUUAAUUUUCUGAUUAAGGGAAUUGGAACCGUACGUAACUGUCUUUAUUCCCUCUGAAACUUGGACUUGGAGUUGGACUUUCAAUCUCAUCAGUCGUGUUUCCAUAAAAAAGAAGAUGGAUUAACCAAUUUUCCUAUGCCUACUAAUCAUACACAAAACUCCACUUCCAAAUAAAAAGGAAUGGGAUAUCACUUGUUAAUAGUGGCUAAAGACUAUUAAUAACCAUGCAAAGAAAUGUCACAUUUUUUGUUCUACGCAAAUUUUAUUCAUCAACUACUAGAACCAUUUCAUACAAUAGUAGCUUUUCGAUCCUUUGAUAAAUGGACACUUGAUGUGAUAACACCAACUACACCUAUAUAUUCAAGCAAUCAUGCGUAUAUAAUAGUGGAUAUGGAUUACUUCUCUAAAUGGGCAAAAGUUUUGUCAUUCAAGGAAAGUGAACGAGGAAACACAAGUUUACUUUCAUCGGAACUAAUAUUAUAUAUUGAUAUGACUUCCCAUUAUUACUUACGAUGGAAUAUGCUUCCAUAAAAUGGCCUAGAUGAACAAACUAUCCAAGAAGUUUGGGAUCAAAUAAUAUAUAUAUAGUUCAUGUGUGAUUCUUUGGUUGACAACCUUGUUAAGGGGUGAGUGAAGCACUUUGGGCAUACCACAUACUACAUGCUAGACUUCCACCCAAGCUACCCUAUAUUCCUUAUGAACAAAGUAGAAGUUGUCAUCUCUCUUGAAUACCAAAUCCUUUCACCUAAUAAUGCUAUCUAAAAAGGUCUUAAAAAGGAUAAAAAUGCGCAUAUUUGAAUUUUUGAAUUAGGAGUGCUACUUAAAAAGAAGCUAGAUAUACAAUAAUAGAAUGUUAUCAAGCAUAUCUCUUCAAAGUUUUUGACCAAAAAAUAUAUGAUUUCUCAUUUUAGGUAGGAGACUUAGUACUCACUAUUCAAAAACCAAUUAUCAUUACUCAUAAAAACUAAUAGAAAGUUUGGGCCAAAGUAGGAUGGACCUUAUAUUAUGCAACAAUUAUGCCUAUAAAAUUGUUGCAAAAGAGGUUUUAGAAUCAAAUCAAUGAAUGAAAAAUUAUUAAAGCAUUACUAUGCUUGAAGGCUAGUCAUUUUCCCUUAAAGUGCAAUAUUAAGUUGCAUAGUACUAUGUGGAUCCGCAUUUUUCACAUGCGUUCCCACUCAUUGUCGAGACUCACUUUUUAGAAGUGAAAAAUUAGUUUUAUUAAAGUCGAAGUUGCCACUGGGGAUUUGAACCCUAACAAAAGGUUCAAUUUAAGGAUAAAAAUAUCGAUAAUCACAUAUAUAUAUAUUGGUACUUUGAUUUUAUGAAUAUAUUGAAGAAAUAUGGACAAAUAUUUUGACACAAAAUAUGUACAAAAUAAAAAUUAUAUAAAAAGUAAAAAUAAAUAUUUUAAAAUUAUUUUUUUAAAUAUAUAUAUAUAUAAUUUGACAUAUUUGAUAAUAAUAUAUAAGGGUCUCCAAAAAGCCCGUGGCCCGCUUUAGGCCCGGUCCGACCCGACAGGCUAAAGCCCGGCCCAAGCCCGCCGGGCCCAAGCUCGGCCCGAGCCCGUUUAUGGGUGGGCCGGGCCGCGAGCCCGUAGGCCUGCUCCUUUAAAAAAAAACUACAAAAAUAAAAAGUAUUAAAAAAAAUAUUCAUUUCAAAAUUUUAUUCAUUGAAUGUAUAAUUACAUUUGAAAAUGUGGGAAAAGUUUACAUCACUACAAAAUAAAUACAUCCCAACUAGGUUGGCACCUAUUUAUUUGUCAAUCAUCUGUAUUUUUCAACCACAAAAAAUAAAAAUAAAAAUAUAAUAUACAUUUAGUCAUUAUUUUCUGGCGGUGAUGGCGAACUAUCAUGCAUCCAUGAAGAUCUUGAUAAUUUUAAAGAUUCCAUAUCGGUAAGCAUCUUUGUUUCUCGAAUGGAAUCAUACAUCCUUUUAUCUGCUAUUUCCCAAUCUUUCACACAUAUCCCUGCUUUAAUAACAUCUGACGCUAAGUUGCAUCGUUUUUUACUAACUACUCUUCCACCUGCACUAAAAGCAGCUUCUGAUGCAACUGUACUCACAGGAACUGUUAGUACAUCACGAGCAAUUAUAGAAAGCACAGGAUAUUUGUGUUGAUGUGAUUUCCACCAUAUUAAAAUAUUAAAAUCUUCUUGAUCUUCAAAUGAAAUUAUAUCAGUAUUAAGAUAUUUAUCUAAAUCAGAUGUAUUAUUUGGAGAAUUAUUUGUUGUCUUUUUUCGACUUUUCAACAUUUCUAGAGCUCCUUUAUAAAAAGAUGAGGAGUUUGUAGAUGUAGGUGGUAAUUUAAUAGUAUUAAUAUCAUUACCAUAUUUUUCUUUAUAAUAGUUAUAUAAAUUAUAUAAUAAUGAAUUUAUUUCAUUUUUAAUUUCUUCAAUUUUUAUUUGGUCAUUAAAAUAAAUAAUUGUUAACCAUUCAUCCAAAGCUUCAAAUUUCAAUCUAGGGUCCACAAUUAAAGCAAUAUAAAAAAUUAAAGGUAUUUCUCCCCAAUAUUUUCUAAAUUUUUAUAUCAUUACAAAUAUUGUAUCAUUAAAUAUUUCAAAACUUAAAUAUUUUUGAAGUACAAUAAAAAUAUUAGUUAUUUGCGUAAUAACUCGAUUUGAAGUUGGAUAAUAUACACCACAAAAAAUGUUUGUUGAAGUAUCAAAAAUUUCAAAAAGAUCUCUUAAAACAUCCGCAAUAUGCCAAUCAUAAUCAUUUAAUGCAUAAAUAUCUGCUUCAUAAUCAUUGUUAAUUAAUUGUAUUUCAUAUAAUUCGACUACUUUUCUAUAUUUUGUAAUAUUUUCUAAAAGUUUAUAUGUGGAAUUCCAUCUAAUAGCCAUAUCCAAAUUUAUAUUUUUUCUUUUCAUAUUUAACAUUUUGCAACAAUCAAAAAAUAAUUCAUGUUUUGCUUGAAAACUAUUAAUACUAUAUGCAAUGCCUCUAAUUUUUUUCCAAUGUACUAUCAACAUUUUUUAAUCCAUCCUUUACAAUUAAAUUUAAAAUAUGUGCACAACAACGCACAUGAAAUAUUUUAGCAUGAUCUUCUUUUACUUGCCAAUAUCGUUUUAGUCUAUGUAUUGCUGCAUCAUUAUUAGCAGCAUUAUCUAAUGUUAUUGUCAAUAUUUUAUCACGAAUGCCUAAAUCUAUAAUUUCAUCAUUUAUUAAAGAUGCUAUAUUUUUACCACUAUGUGGAGUAUUUAUUAAUUUAAAUAAAAUUAUUCUUUUAUUUAAUUUCCAUUCAUUAUCAAUGUAGUGAACAAUUAUAUAUAAAAAACCAGUAUGAGUUAAAGAUGUCCAAAUGUCAGAUGUUAAACGAAUAUUUCCUUCAAAAUUUGCAAAAUUUUUUUUUAAAAUUUCUUUUUGUGUAUAAAUUUUUUUCAUAAUAUCUCUUUUAACUGUAUUUCCAGAUCAACCUUUAAAUUGAGGAUUAAUACCUCGUUGAAUUGUUCUUGCAAAAUCAUGAGUUUCCAUCAUGUUGAAAGGUUGUUCUGCUCUUAUUAUAUAAUCAAUCAUUUCUUCACAACAGUUAGAUUCAUCAUAAGAAAAUGUUUUUAAAUUUCCACUUUCAUUUUUACUUAAUUGCAUAUAAUUUCUAAUAUCUACAUUAUUUUUAGUUUUACAAUUUUCAUGAUGUCUUUUUAAAUGACUUGUAUCUGCAUUUGAGCCACCAGUAAGAAAUUUAUUACAAAUUUUACAUUUUGCUUUUAUUUUUUUUUUAUUAUUUUCUAAAAUUAUUUCUAUUCUAUCAAAAAAAUUCCAUAUAUUUAAAGUAAAUUUUUUGUUUGAUGAUAUUUCAUCACAUGGACUAGACGAAGAAGCACUUGUCAUAUUAUAAUUAUUGAUAAAAUAUUAUGCCAAAAAUAAUAAAGUAAUAAAUAUAAAAAAAAAUGUAACAAAAAAAAUAAAGUAGUAGGGGUGAAGUAUGUUACUCAAUUAGAGAACCUAUGCAGAAAUUCCUAGCAAAUUUGAACUCUUGGAGCCACCAAUGCUUGUUUUGCACCAUCAACAAUAUUGUAUAAUUUGAGGGAAAAAUAAAAGAAUUUAAAAUAUUGUAGAAUGUGAGAGAAAUAGAGAGAAUUUGAUGAAAAAAUGAAAAGGAAGAAAAUGUAUUUAUAGGAAGGUUAAAAAUAAUAAUAAUAAUAAUAAUAAUAAUAAUAAUAAUAAUAAUAAUAAUAAUAAUAAUAAUAAUUGGCCAUGUGACCGUUGGAGGCUUAGCUCCAACGGUCACAUGGGCUGGAGCUAGGCUCCAACAGUCACAUGACCGUUGGAGCCUUUAAUUUUUUUUUUUAAAAUAAUAUACUUUAUUUUUAUAUAUAUAUAACUAACUCAAUUAAUAAACAUAAAAAGAAUAUAGUUCAGUUGGUUAGAACCUUGAAGUUUAAACAUGAGGGGAGGGGUUUGAAUCCCUCCCUCUCCCUUAGGGGCUUUUUUAAAAGCCAUUUUGGCUUAUUUCAAAAAGCCUGUCGGCCCGACCCGCCCUGCAGCCCGCGGGCCUAGCAUUUUAGCAUGGCCUGGUCUGUUGACUAGUCAAAUGGCUCAUAGGCUCGGCCCGAACUGGGCCGCGGGCCUCUUAUUUACGGACCGGCCCGACCCGGCCCGCCCGUUGGAGACCCUUGAUAAUAUCUUCUAUAUUAAGUUACAUUAUAGUUUAUUUUACAAUAUUAUUAUGAUAAUAUGUCUAAUUUUAAAAUAUAUUUAAUAUUAAAAUUAUGAUCUAUUUUAAUUUAAAUGUAUUCAAUGAUAUCAAAUAAAUAAUAAUAUAUGUAUAAUUCUUUUAUUAUUUAUAUUUAUUAUUUUUAAUAAAUAUAUAGAUUAUAUAAAAAAGACCGGAUAUAUCUUUUCAAAUUUUGUAUCGCUCUCCAAGGAUAUUAGAUGUAUGGGAAUUUGUAUUGCUAUCUACGGAUACGUUGAUAUAUGGGUGAUUUAUCAGGAUAAUUAGAAAUUCUAAUUAUGUAAGCAGGUACGGAGUUCUGUGUCGGUGCGAUCUUGUCGACAACAGCUCCAAAUUGUGCAUCUUGCUCAUAGAGAGUAGCGGAAUGCACCAAUCGUAGGCUCAGAGUACCACUGAGUCGUCUGGCAGAGACCCAACUGAAGGUGCCUGUGUUGUUCCUGAUCUGAUCAGGCUUCAAACUACAAGGUGGAAUACUGGUUCCCCUAUAUCAGAAGCUGGAGAUACCCACCCCAUAUGCUCGUCUGGAUGUGCUCCUACCCUUUGAAGCCUUCUUCCGAGUCAAGUCCGAAUUGAUAAGGCUAGUGAGUUCCCAACCAACUGUACUCAGCAUGCUGCCAGGUGGAGACCCUCCAUAUUUGAUGGCUUCCUAAUAUUAAAAUGCUGACCACUGGUCUUCAUGUUCCACAGGCUUAAUUGUGUCCUUUGCUGAAAGAAUGGAUAGUGAUCCAUUUUAACACAUGAUUCACGCCGUCUUUGCCAUUCUUCAUGGUCUAGCCCUUUUAUAUAUAUGCUUCCUGAACUGUUGCUAUUAAUAAAAUGUGGUAUCUAUCCCGUACACCUUCCUGAUGGCCAGCGAAUGCAGAAGCUACAGAAACGGUUCCAUCUUUUGCUUCCGCCACUUUGGCAUCCUCCAUGAUGAGAUCGAAGGUGAAUAAUCAUAUUCUGGGGAUUUAUGUCCUGGAUAUUCUCAGUAAUGCCCAAUUUCCUGGUGCCGGCCUCAUUUCCAUGGGAACUGAUGGAUAACUUAAGGCUUCUACCAUCUGCGUGGUUCGCUUCUAACACAGGAAACUUCACGGCUAAAAGCAAGAUACCAAGAACAUCAAGGCUGUGACAAAAAUUAGUAUUUUUAACUUGUAGGAAUUUGAAAGGCAACCAACCAUCUAGCUCUGUUCUUAAAGCUCCCAUAGGAGGAUCAGAGGCUGGAUUGCUCAAGAUGAACUCAUCCAUUGUUGCACUUAAAAAGAAUUGGCAUGAAUUGUGGCCGCUCUAAUAGGUUCCCUAAACCAUCAUCCAAGUGGGCUUGCGGAAGGUAGCGAGUUUAAAACACCUAGGGCGAUGAACAGUGGACUGUGAUGCUCACAAAAGAGAAAAGGAAGAAUUCAAUAAUUCCUAAGAAUCCAUUUGCCUGUCAUCCAAAUUUUUAUAUUCUCUUCAGUCUGACGCGUUAUGCCAUAUAUUAAAAAUAGCGGCUUCUUCCAAGCCGAGACAGACUGUGCAAAGUUCGCAAGGCCAAUCAUCACCAUAAUCUGAAGUUGGCCUCCUCAAUCGCAGCUUGUAUCCGAAUGCUCACUUCACGGGAUGGAUUGUAAUGAAAACUAAUCUCAGUCCCAGCUAUGGCAGCAUCCUCACUUGACAGCAUUUUCUGCAUAUUCUAGAACAAAGCAAUAAACCCUCAAAGGCUCCUUCGGAUCAGAGUUAGAAGACUGUCCCUCAGGAACGUGAACACUAUGGUGGUUCUGAUAAGCAGUGAUAUUGCAUUAGAGCCUUUUGGAACAAGAGGAUCUUUUCAGGUGGAAACUGUAAACUGCUUCAUGUUGGGCUGCAACCUUUUCUUCAAGCAAUACUUUCUUUCUGUAUCACGACUUAUGUUGCUUCCGGAGCCAUCCCGUGUGGACUGCCCUUCAGUGAAAGAAUAUGUGUGUUGACAUGUUGGAUUGUAAUCUUUGUUCCACUCUAAUGGCUUUUGGUCCUCCUCUUUCUCUUUAUGACAGAGAACCAUUUAGUGAUCCAUCUCUAUAUUGUAGCAUUGCUGGUGCUUUGCAAUACUACACUCUCACCAAGCAUAACAUCUAUUUUUCCGUGACCAAAGUAUGUCGGUUUAUGCAUGCGCAAACUCUUAUUCAUUGGCAAGUUGUCAAGCGUAUCUCAUGAUUUCCCAAAGCCACAAGUUCUUAUGGUCUUUCUGUUCAAGCUUACAAUGAUCUAUCUUUUCUUGGUUAUACUGAUGUCGAUUGGGCUAGUUGCCCUGAUAACAAGCACAAUACUAGUGGGUACAACACUUUUCCUGGUCCUAAUCUCAUUUCAUGGGCAUUUUCAAAGCAGAAGGUUGUGUCUCACUCCAAUAACGAAUCUGAAUAUAGGGGACUCACUAAUUAAUGUUGUUGCCAAGGUCACUUGGAUUGAAUCUGUCUUACGUGAGUUGCGUGUUUCUCUACCCCAACCACCAAUUUUGUUGUGUGACAACAUUAGUGCUACACACUUGGACAAACCAUGUUGAAAUACACUAUCAUUUUAUCCAUGAAAGGCUUAUGCAUCACACACUCAAAAUUCAAUACACCUCUUCUAUAGACCAACUAGUCAAUGCUAUGACCAAAGCUCUUCCUUCAUCUCACUUGUACAAUCUUCAGUGCAAGCUGAUUGUUCUUCCCAAACCACUCAACUUGAGGGGAGAUGUUAAGCCAAUUUAAUAAAUUGAUUUCUUUUGGUUAAUUUGUUAGAAUCAUUUUUAUUAGAGGUUUGUUUGUACAAUUACAUCCAUUUAUCAGGAGAGUACACGUGUACAACUCCUCUUUUAAUCUCACCAUUGUAUAUAUAUGAUACACGACCUUACUCAGAAUUGCAUAACAUUUCCUCUGCUCAUUCCUUUUCUUCUUUGAAUUUUCCCUUACCUCACUGAUUUUGAUUUAUACCUGGUGUUUUCACCUUUGGUCUCUACCUUUCUAGCCAGUUUUCUAAUUAAUCCGUAUAUGGUAUACCUGUCAACUAAUGAGGAGAAAGAGAAAAGGGGAUUGCUGUUCCACCAGCUACAUAUAAUAAUUAAUUACAAUCAUGGUAAUGGAUCCUGAAAUCCAUCCUUUGUGGAUUUUGUACGGAAUAUUGUUGUUAUGUAUGUGGGCUCACUUAGAUGUAUAUUGCUAGCCUGUCUGGGAAAUGUGAUUGCAGGUCCAGAUUAUGAUGUUGAUAUUAGUGGGAUAAGCAAGAGAUGCAGUUAACACGUAUGUGAUGGACUUGAGUAACUUUUCCAUUUCAGUCCAUUUUUUAAGAUUAUGCUUAGUCUUAUUACAAGGAAAGACCAUAAGAAUCAUGAGUCAUUGGCAAGGUAAUAUCAUUCCCUCUUUACAGGCUUCUUCACCUUUUGGUUUUUUUAAUAUCCAUCAAGAUCUUUUAAUUGGAGGACAAUUACAAGUAUAUAUAUAUGUAUUAAAAGGGGAAAAUAUUAAAACAGGAAAUUUUAGGGAAAAUAUAAUAAUUAUUUCUUCCUUCUUUCCCAUAUAGAACUACACAAAAUAAAACUUUAAUAAUUUUUUCUUAUCUUUUUUAUUAUUAUUUUUUCUUAGAAACAUCCGUGGUCUCACAAGCUUGUAAUCCUAGAUUGUUAGGCUCCUUUAACAGUGCCCCAACAUCGUGGUCCAAUGACAAGCUUCCACGCCUUAAAAUCAGAAAAUGCCAUUAAACUUUAUCAGACAUUACAGUUCAAGACAAAGCUUUCAUUUGCUUAAUGUGAUAAUGAAAUUGUUAAUUUCAUUUCGUGGGCAUCUAAAUUUGGACGAGCAAGACCUCUGAAUUCCCUGUUUUUAUCACCAGCAGAGGAGAUAAAAUCUUAAUGGUGAGAAUCUCCACGUGAAAUUUAUGUGUACUGUCAACAUAUUUUUGUUUAUAUAGUCCAGUAGCUGCAGGAAGUCUAGAUUAUAUAGGUAGCAGUAGCACUAUUUAUAGCACUCGAUAU